AUCCAUCUGACGAGUCCCAAAUAGGGCGAAACGCGUCUAACUGUAU
rnacentral:hammerhead_ribozyme from 1 species